AACGAACGCUGGCGGCAGGCCUAACACAUGCAAGUCGAACGCCCCGCAAGGGGAGUGGCAGACGGGUGAGUAACACGUGGGAACCUUCCCAACAGUACGGAAUAGCCCAGGGAAACUUGGAGUAAUACCGUAUAUUCCCGUGAGGGGAAAGAUUUAUCGCUGUUGGAUGGGCCCGCGUCGGAUUAGCUAGUUGGUGAGGUAACGGCUCACCAAGGCGACGAUCCGUAGCUGGUUUGAGAGAAUGACCAGCCACACUGGGACUGAGACACGGCCCAGACUCCUACGGGAGGCAGCAGUGGGGAAUCUUGGACAAUGGGCGCAAGCCUGAUCCAGCCAUGCCGCGUGAGUGACGAAGGCCUUAGGGUUGUAAAGCUCUUUUGCCGGGGACGAUAAUGACGGUACCCGGAGAAUAAGUCCCGGCUAACUUCGUGCCAGCCGCCGCCGUAAUAC
rnacentral:rRNA from 1 species